CCUACGGGCGGCAGCAGUGAGGAAUAUUGGUCAAUGGACGCAAGUCUGAACCAGCCAUGCCGCGUGCAGGAAGACGGCCCUAUGAGUUGUAAACUGCUUUUGUACGAGGGUAAACGCAGAUACGCGUAUCUGUCUGAAAGUACCGUACGAAUAAGGAUCGGCUAACUCCGUGCCAGCAGCCGCGGUAAUACGGAGGAUUCAAGCGUUAUCCGGAUUUAUUGGGUUUAAAGGGUGCGUAGGCGGUCAGUUAAGUUAGAGGUGAAAUUCCGAGGCUCAACUUCGGAAUUGCCUCUGAUACUGUUCGGCUAGAGAGUAGUUGCGGUAGGCGGAAUGUAUGGUGUAGCGGUGAAAUGCUUAGAGAUCAUACAGAACACCGAUUGCGAAGGCAGCUUACCAAGCUACUUCUGACGUUGAGGCACGAAAGCAUGGGGAGCAAACAGGAUUAGAUACCCGAGUAGUC
rnacentral:rRNA from 1 species